UUUGAUCCUGGCUCAGGACGAACGCUGGCGGCGUGCCUAAUACAUGCAAGUCGAGCGGACAGAUGGGAGCUUGCUCCCUGAUGUUAGCGGCGGACGGGUGAGUAACACGUGGGUAACCUGCCUGUAAGACUGGGAUAACUCCGGGAAACCGGGGCUAAUACCGGAUGCUUGUUUGAACCGCAUGGUUCAAACAUAAAAGGUGGCUUCGGCUACCACUUACAGAUGGACCCGCGGCGCAUUAGCUAGUUGGUGAGGUAACGGCUCACCAAGGCAACGAUGCGUAGCCGACCUGAGAGGGUGAUCGGCCACACUGGGACUGAGACACGGCCCAGACUCCUACGGGAGGCAGCAGUAGGGAAUCUUCCGCAAUGGACGAAAGUCUGACGGAGCAACGCCGCGUGAGUGAUGAAGGUUUUCGGAUCGUAAAGCUCUGUUGUUAGGGAAGAACAAGUACCGUUCGAAUAGGGCGGUACCUUGACGGUACCUAACCAGAAAGCCACGGCUAACUACGUGCCAGCAGCCGCGGUAAUACGUAGGUGGCAAGCGUUGUCCGGAAUUAUUGGGCGUAAAGGGCUCGCAGGCGGUUUCUUAAGUCUGAUGUGAAAGCCCCCGGCUCAACCGGGGAGGGUCAUUGGAAACUGGGGAACUUGAGUGCAGAAGAGGAGAGUGGAAUUCCACGUGUAGCGGUGAAAUGCGUAGAGAUGUGGAGGAACACCAGUGGCGAAGGCGACUCUCUGGUCUGUAACUGACGCUGAGGAGCGAAAGCGUGGGGAGCGAACAGGAUUAGAUACCCUGGUAGUCCACGCCGUAAACGAUGAGUGCUAAGUGUUAGGGGGUUUCCGCCCCUUAGUGCUGCAGCUAACGCAUUAAGCACUCCGCCUGGGGGAGUACGGUCGCAAGACUGAAACUCAAAGGAAUUGACGGGGGCCCGCACAGCGGUGGAGCAUGUGGUUUAAUUUCGAGCAACGCGGAAGAACCUUACCAGGUCUUGACAUCCUCUGACAUCUAG
rnacentral:rRNA from 1 species